UUUUAGCCCUGAUAGAAGUGAAAAUCCUUUUUAUUUUUUCUUUAAAAAUAAAAAGAUUACUUCACUUAACUUUUAUUUCA
rnacentral:sRNA from 1 species